rnacentral:rRNA from 1 species
AUUCUUGGUCAUUUAGAGGAAGUAAAAGUCGUAACAAGGUUUCCGUAGGUGAACCUGCGGAAGGAUCAUUACCGAACCGUCGACACGAGUUGUUGCUGGCCUUCAAAUGGGGGCAUGUGCACGCUCUGUUCGUACAUCCACUCACACCUGUGCACCUUCCGUAGUUCUGUGGCCUGGGGGACCCUGUCCUCCUGCCGCGGUUCUAUGUCUUUACACACACGCUGUAACAAAGUCUUAUGGAAUGUACGCCGCGUUUAACGCAAUACAAUACAACUUUCAGCAACGGAUCUCUUGGCUCUCGCAUCGAUGAAGAACGCAGCGAAAUGCGAUAAGUAAUGUGAAUUGCAGAAUUCAGUGAAUCAUCGAAUCUUUGAACGCACCUUGCGCCCUUUGGCUAUUCCGAAGGGCAUGCCUGUUUGAGUAUCAUGAACACCUCAACCCCUCAUGGUUUGCCAUGAUGGGCUUGGACUUUGGAGGUCUUGCUGUCCCAUGGUCGGCUCCUCUCAAACGAAUCAGCUUGCCAGUGUUUGGUGGCAUCGCAGGUGUGAUAAUUAUCUACGCUUGUGGUGUUCUGCCGGAUAACCUUCGGCGACGGAGGUUCACUGGAGCUCAUAAACGUCUCUCCUCAGUGGGGACAGCCCUUUGAACGUUUGAUCUCAAAUCAGGUAGGACUACCCGCUGAACUUAAGCAUAUCAAUAAGCGGAGGAAAUC